rnacentral:rRNA from 1 species
AGCCCAACCCCUAGCCCAACCAUAACUGCCCCAAACAGAAAAAUUAAGAAUUGACUUGCCCUACUAAACCAAAACAUUUGUUUCCCAUCUUAGUAUAGGCGAUAGAAAAGAAACCUGGCGCAAUAGAAACUAGUACCGUAAGGGAAAGGUGAAAUAAUAAUGAAAAACUUAAGCAAUAAAUAGCAAAGAUUAACCCUUGUACCUCUUGCAUCAUGAUCUAGCAAGAAUAACCAAGCAAAAUGAACUUAAGCUUGCCGUCCCGAAACCCAGGCGAGCUACUCGCAAGCAGCUACCCUUGAGCGAACCCGUCUCUGUGGCAAAAGAGUGGGAUGACUUGCUAGUAGAGGUGAAAAGCCAACCGAGCUGGGUGAUAGCUGGUUGCCUGUGAAAUGAAUCUAAGUUCCCUCUUAAUUUUCCUCCACGGACCAUUUAAUCCAACCCCCAUGAAGCAAAUCAAGAGCAAUUUAAAGGAGGUACAGCUCCUUUAAAAAAGAACACAAUCUCCUGCAGCGGAUAAAUAUUAACUACUCAUACUGACUGUGGGCCUUCAAGCAGCCAUCAAAAAAGAAUGCGUCAAAGCUCUUUAAACAGAAAAAAUUCUAAAAUAGAACGACUCCCUUACAAGCUAGCAGGUAACCUAUCAACCAUAGGAGAAUUAAUGCUAAAAUGAGUAACUAAGGAGGACCUCCCCUCUCCUCUCGAGCGCACGCUUACACACCCGUUAUUAACAGACUAACAAUACUUCAACACCAACAAGCCCAAGUAUUAACACACCUGUUAACCCGCCCACAGGAGCGCCUACUAGAAAGAUUAACAUCUGUAAAAGGAACUAGGCAAACCCAAGGCCCGACUGUUUACCAAAAACAUAGCCUUCAGCAAACCAAGUAUUGGAGGUGAUGCCUGCCCAGUGACCCAAUGUUCAACGGCCGCGGUAUCCUAACCGUGCAAAGGUAGCGCAAUCAAUUGUCCCAUAAAUCGAGACUUGUAUGAAAGGCUAAACGAGGUCUUAACUGUCUCUUACAGAUAAUCAGUGAAAUUGAUCUCCCUGUGCAAAAGCAGGGAUUAACCCAUAAGACGAGAAGACCCUGUGGAACUUGAAAAUCAGCUACCACCCCUCACAAACUUGAACCUAUUAGGUCUACCCUUAUUAAAGUGCUGGUAUACAUUUUUCGGUUGGGGCGACUUUGGAGAAAAACGAAUCCUCCAAACAUAAGACUACACCUCUUAAUCAAGAGCAACUUCUCAACAUACUAAUAGUAACCAGACCCAGUAUAAUUGAUUAAUGGACCAAGCUACCCCAGGGAUAACAGCGCAAUCUCCCCCGAGAGCUCAUAUCGACAGGGAGGUUUACGACCUCGAUGUUGGAUCAGGACAUCCUAAUGGUGCAGCCGCUAUUAAGGGUUCGUUUGUUCAACGAUUAAUAGUCCUACGUGAUCUGAGUUCAGACCGGAGCAAUCCAGGUCGGUUUCUAUCUAUGUUAAACUUCCCCUAGUACGAAAGGACCGGAGAAGUGAGGCCAAUACCACAAGCAUGCCUCCCCUUACAAAUAAUGACCUCAACUUAAUUAUCAAAAAGGUUACCACUCCCAUUGCCCUAGAAAAGGGCCCAG